UGGGGAAUAUUGCACAAUGGGGGAAACCCUGAUGCAGCGACGCCGCGUGAGCGAAGAAGGCCUUCGGGUCGUAAAGCUCUUUUAUGAGGGAAGAUAAUGACGGUACCUCAAGAAAAAGCCCCGGCUAACUACGUGCCAGCAGCCGCGGUAAUACGUAGGGGGCUAGCGUUGUCCGGAAUCACUGGGCGUAAAGGGUUCGCAGGCGGAAUAACAAGUCAGAUGUGAAAGGCAUGGGCUCAACCCAUGUAAGCAUUUGAAACUGUAAUUCUUGAGAAGUGGAGAGGUAAGUGGAAUUCCUAGUGUAGCGGUGAAAUGCGUAGAUAUUAGGAGGAAUACCUGUGGCGAAGGCGACUUACUGGACACAAAUCUGACGCUGAGGAACGAAAGCGUGUGUAGCAAACAGG
rnacentral:rRNA from 1 species